rnacentral:rRNA from 1 species
UGCCCUAGUAACGGCGAGUGAAGCGGCAACAGCUCAAAUUUGAAAUCUGGCUCUCGGGCCCGAGUUGUAAUUUGUAGAGGAUACUUUUGAUGCGGUGCCUUCCGAGUUCCCUGGAACGGGACGCCAUAGAGGGUGAGAGCCCCGUCUGGUUGGAUGCCAAAUCUCUGUAAAGUUCCUUCAACGAGUCGAGUAGUUUGGGAAUGCUGCUCUAAAUGGGAGGUAUAUGUCUUCUAAAGCUAAAUACCGGCCAGAGACCGAUAGCGCACAAGUAGAGUGAUCGAAAGAUGAAAAGCACUUUGAAAAGAGAGUUAAAAAGUACGUGAAAUUGUUGAAAGGGAAGCGUUUAUGACCAGACUUGGGCUUGGUUAAUCAUCUGGGGUUCUCCCCAGUGCACUUUUCCAGUCCAGGCCAGCAUCAGUUUUCCCCGGGGGAUAAACGCGGCGGGAAUGUAGCUCUCUUCGGGGAGUGUUAUAGCCCGUCGUGUAAUACC